AGUUAGAGGAGGGGGUUAUAGGGAGCGGGUAUAGGAGAAGUUAGAGGAGGGGGUUAUAGGGAGCGGGUAUAGGAGCAGUUAGAGGAGGAGUUAUAGGGAGUGGGUAUAGGAGCAGUUAGAGGAGUUAUAGGGAGCAGUUAGAGGAGGAGUUAUAGGGAGCAGGUUUAGGAGCGGUUAGAGGAGGAGUUAUAGGGAGCGCGUAUAGGCGCAGUUAGAGGAGGGGGUUAUAGGGAGCAGGCAUAGGAGCAAUUAGAGGAGGAGUUAUAGGGAGCGGGUAUAGGAGCAGUUAGAGGAGGGGGUUAUAGGGAGCGGGUAUAGGAGCAGUUAGAGGAGG